AGGAGGAACAACCGCAGUGGCGGGGCCAGCUCUGCAGCCCUGGAGUCAGCCCCCGCAGUAGCUCCAGAGCUCUUCCUCUGCAGGGCCUGGAGGCUCUGGGGCGGG
rnacentral:pre_miRNA from 1 species